CUCCUUCAUUCCUCCGACAGAAGGAGACGCUUCGCCUCCUCCUCUCAAUUUCCUUCCCCAUUGCGUCUCUAGACCUAAUCUCCAGCCGCCGAGCGCCCGAUGCUCCCGCCGAGGCCCUGUUAGCCAAGUCAAACAUCGCUGCUAGUGCUAGGCUAUGGUGCUUCAGCCGCUCUUCAUCUGACGAGGGCAGGAACUUGGAGCUGCUGGCCAUCAUUCUUGGUCUUCUUCAACUGGGACUUCCUUGAACUAUUUGAUGGAUAGUAUAAACCAAAAUGCACUUUACUAUGACCCCCAGAGGGAUGUAUCAGUUUCAGGAGCUACUCAAAGUGUGACAAACUGCGAGCCUCAUGUGGUUCAAUCCGCUAACUCUUAUGUUCCUCGCUCAACAUCGGUUCAACAUGACUACAAUGCUGCCCAAUAUCCAAACUACUACUAUAACUAUCUACAAGCAGAAAAUGAUUCCUCUGUUCAUCAAGGAGUAGGUCAACUUCCAGGUGCUGCUUACCAGUCUCUAACUUCGUUUCAGAAUUCAGGAUCUUAUGUUGGUCCUACAAGUAACACAUAUUAUAAUUCUGGUACUCAUCAGACUGCACCAGGAUAUGCAACAAGUAACUAUUAUUAUCAUCAAAACAAUGCCUGGGUUGAUGGAAGUUCUGUGAAUAAUCAUGCCCAAUCAUAUCAGAGUUACAUCCCAGAUAGUAAUGUAGCCCAGAGUUCUAGUUCACUACUAGCAAGCUCUGUCCACUAUCAACAGCAGUACAACCAAUGGCCUUAUUAUUAUGAUCAAUCUGCACAGACUUCAUGGGGUCUUGCAGUUGCUGAUAGCACUACUUCCAUUACAAAUGUUGCUACUGUUGUCCCUGAUUAUGUACAUCUGAGCAACCAGCCACCUCCACCAGGCACUACAUCAUGGAGGACAGAUGCUGGUAACACUGCUGCACCUCCCGCACAGGCAGGGGACAUUCAAGGAUAUCAAAACCAGUAUUCCCCCAAGGUCCAAGUCGCCCCAGUGCUUCAAAAUCAGUAUAUUAACAACACAGCAGGUAUCCCAACGCUUCAUAACCAGUAUGCCAGCUCAGCAUUCCAGCAUAGCUCUGCAAAUAAUAAUCAGCUACCGGAUUCUGAGACAUCAAAUGGUCACAUGGUAAACAAAGUACAGAUCCCAAUAAAUCCUCAAAUAGCCCCAGGUCUUCCAAUAGGAAUGCCCAAAAUGGAUGAGUCAAAUUUAGAAGCUGAUUCAUCACUGAAACCUGCUUAUGUUUGUGUUUCAAUGCCCAAGAAUGAUGUGAAGGCUGCACAAGAAGGUUCUGAAGCAGUAAUGCAGGUGACGGGAUCUUUCCCUGUUUCACUGUGUACUUAUGUUGAACGGAAUCUUGCCCGUUGCAAGGAUGAUACCCAAAGGACUGCCAGCCGAAGAAUCUUAAAAGAGAUAAUCACAAAGGCAACUGCUGAUGGGGCCCUUCAUACGAAGAACUGGGACAUUGAACCACUACUAACUUUGCCAGAAAUUACUGCAGGCGCAACUAUGACUAGCACUGGGACGGAUUCAAGUCCUUUUUCUUUUUCAUCAUCAAGGAGUCCUAGUAGGCGUACAAAAAGUAGGUGGGAGCCUGUUGCAGAGGAAAAAGUUACUAACAAUGUGGAAGUUCCUAAAGAAUCUGCAAAGAGUAAUAUCUGCAGUAGUUUGGAACCAACCAAAAGAACGAGUAACAGUUGGGAUCUGAGGAAGUUUGUCCAAUCCCGCCAAGUUCCUUUUAAUCAAUGCAGUCAGAGUACUACUAAAAAGCAACAAACUGGUGGUGGUGCAAAUCUAAAUGAAAAUGGAAAUGCCUCAAGUGACAGUAGUAAGGAGCAGGAUAUAAUGAAAUAUUACCCCAGUUCAAUCGUACUAGCAAAUUCACCUGAGGAAAAUAAACGACGGGAGCAUAGAUCGAAGCGUUUUGAACGGAGUCAAGAUGUGCCAUCAAAAUCUGGGAGUUCUCUACCAGAUAAGGAUGCCACAACCAACAUAUAUAAAAGGAGAGCUGUGUCACUGCUUCUUAAUAGAAAUUAUGUGGAUGAUGCUGGCUUGGCAGUGGAGGAUUUGGAUUGGGAUGCUCUGACAAUCAAGGGAACAUGCCAGAACAUUGAGAAACAACACCUACGCCUUACAAGAGCACCUGACCCUGCCGAAGUACGGCCAGAAGAUAUCCUAGAGAAGGCUCUUCAUAUGGUUGAAACAUCAGAAAAGAAUUAUCUUUACAAAUGUGAUCAACUAAAGUCUAUUCGGCAAGACCUUACUGUUCAGAGGAUCCAGAACGAGUUGACUGUCAAGGUUUAUGAAAGCCAUGCACGUUUAGCUAUUCAAUCUGGAGAUUUACCUGAAUAUAAUCAGUGCCAAUCUCAGCUAAAGAGGUUAUAUGGAGGAGGACUCAAAGGCUGUAACCUUGAAUUCUCCGCUUACAACUUGCUAUGUGACAACUUUCUUGACAACUUUUGCAGUGCCAAUCUCAGCUAAAGAGGUUAUAUGGAGGAGGACUCAAAGGCUGUAACCUUGAAUUCUCCGCUUACAACUUGCUAUGUGACAACUUUCUUGACAACUUUUGCAGUGCCAAUCUCAGCUAAAGAGGUUAUAUGGAGGAGGACUCAAAGGCUGUAACCUUGAAUUCUCCGCUUACAACUUGCUAUGUGUCAUGCUGCACUCUAAUAGCAAAAGAGAUUUGCUUUCAUCGAUGGCAAGCUUGCCAAAGGAAGCCAAGAAAGACGCAACUGUCAAGCAUGCCCUUGAAGUUCGUUCUGCUGUCUCAUCUGGCAAUUAUGUUCUGUUUUUCAAAUUAUACAAGGUGGCACCCAACUUAAACUCAUGUCUUAUGGACCUCUAUGCGGAACGAAUGCGCUUUGAGGCUAUAAAAUGCAUGUCAAAAUCAUAUCGCCCAACUGUACCAAUCAGAUACGCUGCACAGAUUUUGGGAUUUGUGGGAAUCGAUGAAGUUUAUGAGACUAAUGGAGCUGAUGGACUGGAAGAAUUCAAGAAAUGGUUAAAAGCACAUGGUGCUGUUCUUUCAGUAGAUAAUAAUGGAGAAGUGCAGAUAGACACAAAGGUUUCUUCUACUUCUUUGUACAUGCCGGAACCUGAGAACGCUGUUUCUCAUGGUGAUGCAUCUCUUGCUGUUGAUGAUUUUUUGGCACGAGCAUCAUAAGAUAUCCUGGUGAGUGCCACUCCCUGCCCUCUUCUUUUGCACUGGUCUUUGGAGGUGCUGCACAAAUGCAUGUCGCCAAGACCAGUAGAGUUACCUUUUGUUAGAGAAAAUCACUGUCACAUGAAACAAAUAGGUGUCCAGGACAGAAUACAUGCUAGUAGGUGACUUCUCGUAGUCUCAAUCUCACAUUGUGCUCUGACGCUGUUUUAUGGCUGGCUAUUCGUGUUAGUCUGCAUUCAUAUGAUUGUUUAACUGAGAUCAAUGACAUGCUCAGAGUUUAGUCUGCAUCCAUAUUAUUGUUUAACUGAGAUCAAUGGCAUGCUCAGAGUUAUGUUGGGUGGGAUUGUGCCAGUCUGUCAGAUACUUUACCAUCCAGACCUCAAGUGUAUAUGUUGUUGAAAAAUGUGUUCAAAUCAGUUCAGUGUAUUAUACAUUUCUGUACACAUCCUGAUGAUUCUAACAUCUUUAAUUCUUCACAGAUUACAGAAAGUAGUUAAUAGGAACUUGAAAAGGCUGAUAUUAUUGUCCUCAAAUUUGUUCAUUUUUCUCUGUAUAUAAAAGAAAAAGAAGGUCUGGGUUUCUUGGGAACGUAUCUAGUGCAAACCACAACCUUCGUGAAAACUCAUGCAAACCAUGACAAAAAAAUUGUCUAUAAAUUCACCAAAAAAAUCACGCAUGUUGAUGAUAUGAUGAUACACAACCUUGUAAAAUAUUUUCUCCAAACUCGACUUCGUUUGUGAGAUAUAAAAAUAACAAAUUUCUAACAAAUCAUCUGGACAACUUUCUGACUUGAAAUUUGUUAUUUUUAUAUCUCACAAACGAAGUCGAGUUUGGACAAGAUAUUUUAUAAGAUUGUAUAUCAUCAUAUCGUCUACAUGUGUUUUUUUGUGAAUUUAGACGACUUUUUUGCCGUGGUUUGCACGGAUUUUCACGAAAUUGUGGUUUGUACAAGAUAUGUUCCCGGGUUUCUUAGUACUAGCUAGACUCAGUAGUGUCAUCUGUGAAGCUUUUGGAGUUAGCUUGUAGUUCACCACCAUAAAUAGCGUUAGUAGUGAAUCCUCGUCGUCGUGGCUGCUAAUUGUCAGCUUUUUAGUACUACUUUAUUUUGUCAUUUCUGAGAUUGCUGAUCGAUUUUAGUUUACAAGCUUAUUAUGGUAAUUAGUAAAUGGUCCAUC